GACGAACGCUGGCGGCGCGCCUAACACAUGCAAGUCGAACGAGCGAGAGAGAGCUUGCUUUCUCAAGCGAGUGGCGAACGGGUGAGUAACGCGUGAGGAACCUGCCUCAAAGAGGGGGACAACAGUUGGAAACGACUGCUAAUACCGCAUAAGCCCACGACCCGGCAUCGGGUAGAGGGAAAAGGAGCAAUCCGCUUUGAGAUGGCCUCGCGUCCGAUUAGCUAGUUGGUGAGGUAACGGCCCACCAAGGCGACGAUCGGUAGCCGGACUGAGAGGUUGAACGGCCACAUUGGGACUGAGACACGGCCCAGACUCCUACGGGAGGCAGCAGUGGGGAAUAUUGCACAAUGGGGGAAACCCUGAUGCAGCGACGCCGCGUGGAGGAAGAAGGUCUUCGGAUUGUAAACUCCUGUUGUUGAGGAAGAUAAUUACGGUACUCAACAAGGAAGUGACGGCUAACUACGUG
rnacentral:rRNA from 1 species